CCUACGGGAGGCAGCAGUGGGGAAUUUUGGACAAUGGGCGCAAGCCUGAUCCAGCAAUGCCGCGUGAGUGAAGAAGGCCUUCGGGUUGUAAAGCUCUUUUGUCAGGGAAGAAACGGUUGUUCCUAAUACGGAUGGCUAAUGACGGUACCUGAAGAAUAAGCACCGGCUAACUACGUGCCAGCAGCCGCGGUAAUACGUAGGGUGCAAGCGUUAAUCGGAAUUACUGGGCGUAAAGCGUGCGCAGGCGGUUAUAUAAGUCAGAUGUGAAAUCCCCGGGCUCAACCUGGGAACUGCAUUUGAGACUGUAUGGCUAGAGUGUGUCAGAGGGGGGUAGAAUUCCACGUGUAGCAGUGAAAUGCGUAGAUAUGUGGAGGAAUACCGAUGGCGAAGGCAGCCCCCUGGGAUAACACUGACGCUCAUGCACGAAAGCGUGGGGAGCAAACAGGAUUAGAUACCCUGGUAGUCCACGCCCUAAACGAUGUCUACUAGUUGUCGGGACUUAAUUGUCUUGGUAACGCAGCUAACGCGUGAAGUAGACCGCCUGGGGGUACGUCGCAAGAUUAAAACUCAAAGGAAUUGACGG
rnacentral:rRNA from 1 species